ensembl:lncRNA
GCACUUACUGUAGUGCCACCCGGUACAUGGAGUUAAAUAAACGAUGGGUGUGUAAAACUCAAGAGGCAUCAUUGGCCAAUUCCUUCAGAAUUUCUCUUGUAUCUCACCUUUGUUCUCCACUCCCAUUUCUAUGAUCCUAGCAAAUCUCUCUGUACAUUUCUGCUGGAUUACAAAGAUAAUCCCUAACUGUUCUCCUUGUCUCUAGUUUUAUGAACUUCUAUGCACAGAUUAAUCUUCUUAGAAUGCUAUUUUUAGUAUGUCACUCUUUGGCUCAAAAUUUAUAUACAAGAUGAAAUCCCAAUUUUCCAGCUUGUUAUUCAAAGCCCUUUAAAAUCUACUGUGAUCCCACCUUUAUUUAUAGGCUUAUGCUGUACUCCCGCUCUGUAAGAACUCUCCAUCCCAGGAAUGUCUACCUUUUCAAUAGCCCUGAGAUAUAUUUUAAUCACUUCUCUCUCUGAGCCUUUCUUUGUUCACACUUGUAAUCUUUCUCCAGCUAUUUCCCCAUCAGCCUUUCCUGCUCCCAUCCCCCAGUGUCAACUGUAUCUUCCUGUCUCCUCUUUAAAUGCAAAGAAACUUUCCCUUUAUGAUGUCCAAGGAAGUAGGUGCUGUAUUCUAAUACUGAAAUAAAUCCUCCUUUGUAUCACUUUUUACCCUGUAUCAUCAGAUUUAAAAGUGUUGAUUGUGAGAUGAAACAUUAUUGCAUGUAUUACCAAGAAAGAGUGAAAGCUUCCAAGUACAGCAUGACAUUCCAUUGAUUUUUUUCUUUUUUUUAAAUGGAAGUAUAAUUGAUUUAUAAUGUUGUGUUAGUUUAGAUACAUAUGUAUAUAUCUGAUAUAUAUAACUGAUAUAUCUGAUAUAUAAUGUUGUGUUAGUUUCUGAUAGAUAGAUAGAUAGAUAGAUAGAUAGAUAGAUAGAUAUCUUUUCCAGAUUCUUUUCCCUUAUAGGUUAUUACAAAAUAUUGAGUAUAGUUCCCUGUGCUACACAGUAGAUCCUUGUUGAUUAUUUUAUAUGUAGUAAUAUGUACCUAUUAAUCCCAAACUCCUAAUUUAUCCCUCCCCUGCUCCCCCUGUGCAUUCCAUUGAUUUUUUAAAGAGGCAUUGCUUUUGUUGGUGAUAGUAAAAGAUGGAAAAAUGUGCAUCCCAGGUUCCGUAAAAUGUAGUAGGUGAUUCAUACAUAUGUUUAUUUAUUCAGUAAAUAUUUCCCGAUUGCCUACCAUAUGCUCCAGUCAAGGCACCCACAUUCAAGCUUAUCCUCUUCUGUACUCAGGCUUUUACUGCCUCCACCCCCUCGCCCAGGAAGGACUGUAAAGCCUUUACAGGCAGAAAUUGUUUUUAAUUUUAUUGAAGUAUGGCUGAUUUACAAUAUUGUGAUAACUUUUGCUGUACAGCAAAGUGAUUUCGCCAUACAUAGACACAUAUCCAUUCCCAUAUAGAUUGUCACGGAAUAUCCAAUAGAUUUCUCUGUGCUGUACAGCAAGUCCCCACUGGCCAUCCGUUCCAUAUACAAAAGUGUGCCUUGGCCAUUCCCAGAACCCCAGUCCGUCCCUACCCACCCCUAAGCCUUUCCCUUUGGUAACCAUGGUUUUUUUUCAGAGUCUGUGAGUCCCUUUGAGUUUUGUAAAUAAGUUCAUUUGUGUCAUUUUUUUAAGUUCUGCAUAUGAGUGAUAUCAUAUGGUAUUUGUCUUUCUCCAUCUGACUUAUUUCACUUUGUAUGAUAAUCCCUAGGCCCAUCCCUGUGGCUGCAAAUGGCAUUAUUUCAUUCUUUUUAUGACUGAGCGAUAUUCCACUGUAUACAUGUACCACAUCUUCUUUAUCCAGUCUUCUGUCGAUGGACAUUGAGGUUGUUUCCAUGUCUUGGCUAUUGUACAUAGUGCUGCAAGGAACAUUGGGGUGUGUGUAUUUUUUCCAAUUAUGGUUUUCUCCAGAUAUUUGCCCAGGAGGGGGAUUGCUGGGCCAUAUGGUAGUUCUAUUUUUAGUUCUUUACGGCACCUCCCUGCUGUGCUCUGUAGUGGCCGCACCAAUUUGCAUUCCCCCUGACUUAUGAAGUCUUAUAAAGGCAGGCACAGGCACCUUGACUUUAUGUGUCUACAGGGAGUGUUUCACACAGUUUUGUAUAUAGUAGGCACGCUAAAUAUUAGUGCGAGGUAAUGAAUUAAAAAAGGCUGCACCCAAAGUAAUAAAGGGUGUUUUAAAUUCAGACACAAGAGAACACACAGUCUGUGAAACCUAGUUAGGUUUUAGGCCUCAGGGCUGUCUCAGGGAUUCUGGAGGAAGCAAAGGAAAAGAGAGAAUUUUACAGAGGAUCUGAAUGAUUCACCACUGCCUUGGGAAGUUUCCUUCUUCCCAAUUAUUUAAAAUAGCAAAUCAGCAGAUCCUUGUCAUUUGUUGAUUUCAGAUUUCUGGUUGUCACUGUUUAUGAGCCACCCCAGAGUCCACAUCGUCUUGAAAUGUGCCUUUUUCCUGGGAAUUGAGUCACCUGGGAGGUUGACCCGUGCAAGGGCGUCUCGCUGCCAAGCCAGGUGGUGGGCGCAGACUGCCGCCCGGGCAUCUCAGUAUCUCCCUGUAGCUUUGUCCUUCUCCUCUUCAACUGUGUUCUAUAAUUUGAGGAUUCUGAAGACCACAGGAUGGAUCCCACAGGAUGGAUCCCCAAGGGCCCAAUGUAGUCUUGAUGUGGGGGGAGGGGGGCUCCCCAUUCUUGGAGGUUCAUGUUCUUUGAGAGAGGACACUCCUUGUAGAACUGAGUGGGGAGAGGACCAUGUCAGCUGCCAGCAGUGCUCAUUCAUUCAAUCAACCAACGCGUAAAGAGAUUAACAUUCUGCUAGACUUGGCAUUAGGGAUGGAGCCUAUACAGUGAGGAAUGCUCCCUUAAAUUAGGACUGUCCUUUAAAGCACUUCCAUGCUUGUCAUUGUUCUGUCACGCUUUCACUUUUGGCCCUCACCACCACCACCCAGGAUAACAGCCAGGGAACCUCUUGUUAGUCCCAUUUUACAGAUGCUGAGGAUGAGGCUCAGAGAGAUCAGGAGAACUGCCCGAAUUCAGAUGGCUACCAGGGUCUCCCAAACUCAGGCCUCUUGAUCAGAAAUCACAUGCUCUUUGCCAGACGAUACAUGCAGAGAGUCAGGAAUUAUCAGUGGGGAUGGAUGGAAUUUCAGAAUAAUUCCCUAGAAGUCUUGGAUGGUAUUCUAGAAACAUCACCCCCAUCCCCGACCGCCAAACGCAAAAGUCAAGGAACCAUGCCAAAGAGUGCCAGCGCAAUUGAGCAUCGGAAGCUUCUGUGCAAACCAAAUUAGCCUUGAAAAGUGACAGGGAAAUGGCCAAUGUCCCCUAUGGUUUCAUUCAACCCUCUGGGCUUGUCUGUGGCUUGGCCUGACCAUGGAGCUCCAGAUGGAAUGGAUAGCGUUUGGGGCCAGGCUUGCGGUUGUGUUAUGACGGCAGGUUGGCGUCCUGCCAGGUGGGGCCUUCACCCUGUCCUCCCGCGUGACCCCGGCCCACUUCGGCUGGCCGAAUUAUUUAAAUAUUGUACAUUACUAGUUAAUAGACACAACAUAUUGAAAGUUUUACAAUAAAAUAUUUAUGCUGCUAGAAAACAUUUUACAUGCUCUUUAAACAGCCAUGUCAUCUAUUUAUUUUCAUUCUCUGAUCUUUCUGUUUUGUAUCAGAAUCAGAGAAUUUAGCCUAUUUACCCAGAAGUAAAUAUUAUGAUGAAAACAUUGGUCAGCUCAAAAGGAGAGUUCGUAAAGCGCACAAGUAUUUUUUGUUAGUGUCAAUUGCACAACAGUCCCUGCGUGGUAAUAAAUUCAGAAAUUUCUCUGGGAUGCUGGAAGCAUGGAGAUGAAUAUUUCAUGGCUAGAGGCUACCCCUACCUGCCUUUGGCCUCCUUCGUGCAGCAGCCUCGCCACUCUUUCUGGCCAUUCAUUCCUUUUGUGAAACAGAGAAACUCUUCUGGGGAUGAGUGGGCAUUUGCAGGUGCCUGUGGUCAAGGGCAUGCAUUCAAUACUGAACCUUGGGCUGCAAGUAAGUGCUGACACUUUAUGGUCUGAAGUCCUCUGUUUGGCAGCCGAGGCCACACAACCUUCAGCUUGGCUGUCUCCUUUUUUGCCAACUACUCCUAAGUUUUGAAAACUUCUCCCUAACUCUGUCAUGGUUGCUGCUUUAUUAGGCUUAACAGCUAGUCAUCAUGAUUCAGGGGCAAUUUAUUUCUGCCCGAGAGAGGGUCCAGCCAGUACCUCCUCUUGUUACUGAGUCAGAGAUGGAGAACUCCUUGAAUAUCAGUGGGGUUUUUUUUCCCAUGUCCUUUCCAAGAAUGUUCUUAAAGAUGCAAAGAAAGUACUAGAACUUGAAAGUGUCAGAAAGCACCGUCUCUUACCCCCACCCACCCCAAUGUCCAUAGGAGCACUCUGCACAGUAGCCAAGACUUGGAAGCCACCUAAGUGCCCAUCAACAGAAGAAUGGAUAAAGGAGAGUGGUACAUAUACGCAAUGGAGUAUUACUCAGCGAUAAUGAAUAAAAUAUUGCCAUUGGCAGCAAUGUGGCCAGACCUAGAGAUGAUCAUACCAAGUGAAGUAAGUCAAAGAAAGACAUUUAUCAUAUAAAUAGCACUUAUAUGUAGAAUCUAAAAAAAAAAAAAAAAAAGACCCACACAAAUGAACUUACAAAACACAAAGAGACUCACAAUUAAGAGAAAACAAACUUAUGGUUACCAAAGGGGAAGGGGGCAGGGAUAAAUUGGGAGUUUGGGAUUAGUAGAUAUACAUUACCACGAAUCACUUUGUUGUACACCUAAAUCCAACACAACAUUGCAGAUCAGCUCUACUUCAGUUAAAAAAAGAGCAUCAGAAAGCACCAUCUCUAUGAUGAGCCCUGGACCCCCGUCUUUAAUUUCAGACUCAAGACCUCAUUUCUGCCCCUUAGCCUUAGAGUGGCUCUGUGUGCUCUCUGUUCCUUGAGCUCCACUCCUCCAGGCAUACCUCAUUUUCCCAAGCUCUGGCUGAAUCCCACGCAGGAUCUUACUUCUCUCUCACCCCUCUCUUCGAAGGUGGGGUUUACCUGGAGCCCCCUGCCCUGACUUACCCGGCACCUCAUUAGCUUUGGAGAAGGUGGUACACAGGGUUUAGGGUGCGCGAGAUCCGUGUCUUGGGCUAUCUCCUCAACUCUUGAAUUUCAGCUCCUGUCCCUAAAAUAAGAGGAAGAUGCAUGGGUCCUGGGGUUCUGAUGAGGACUGUUUAAGAACUUGGAUGGAUUCUAUGCGCAGCGCCUCCUACUGGGUUUGGUCCAGAGUGCGUGCUUACCAGUUAAGUUAGUGGUAGUGAUUAUUACCCCUCCUGUGGUGUAGAUGCUCUGACUUCCUCCGGCAUCUCCCAGGUCUCGAUUUUCCCAGGUGCUUUCCAGUACUAACAUGUUUUGUUUUUCCCUCCAAGUAUCUAAACAUCAAUGCUUCAUCAGUGGUUCAUAGGUAUAAGAAGGCAGGGAGAUAAGCCAUGGGAAAGAAAGAGAAGGAGAGAAUAAAGAAAGGUGAGGGGAGAUGCAGGUUAGACCAUCCAUGCUUUAGAAGAAAUGACUCAUUAUAUUAAAAAUCAUUGCCGGUGAAUAAAGUCUUCACUUUCUAUUACUAGAAAGUCUUGCUUUCCCUAGAAAGUCCAUUAUUUUCUAAUCUAUAGGAAGAGGCCCCUUCCUACAGAAACGAUGGGAUAAGAAUGAGACAAGAACUUGAGAACUAGGCAGGCAGCCUUGGGUCGCAGAAGUCUUGGUUUAAUUCCCACAUAAUUCCCGGUCUUGGUUUGCAUGGGAUCCAUUUCCACAGCUCUCAGCUUCCCCAGCUCGCAAAGGAGAUGAUCUGAUCGGAGUCACUCAACAAACACGUGACAACCCUUUCUAUGUGCACGGGUGCCCGGCCGGAGCACUGGGGUUGCCGAGGGUCAGAGGAGAGACAAGAUUUCUGCUCGAGUGUCAGCAGUGGAGACAAAACAGACACACCAACAAAAACCCAGAUAACUCAAUAAGAUAAUUUUGGUUCACGAUAAGGGACUUUUAGAAAACCAAACAGAGAAAUUGAUAGAAAGUGGCGGGGAAGAGUGAGCCGCUUACAGUGGUCAGAGAAGCCCAUUCUGCAAAGCUGAUUCCUAAGUGAAUGGAGCCCAGGCAGGUAAAGAUCUGGGGGGGACGGUCCAGGCAGAGGGACCAGCGCGGGAGUGUGGGGCGUGCGUGAAAAGGAGAGGAGGCCAGUGUGACCGGAGAGCCGCACACAGGAGGGGACCGCAGUGAGAUGGGGAGUCAUGCAGGUGCCAGAUAUGGGGCAGCGGGCUUCAAAGCCAGCAAGGAGCAGGGGGCACAUGGAAAUUGGGCAGAGUAAGGCAAUUUUAAUAAAAGGAAUAUUUACAGAUGUGGGCUGAGAUAGGGAAACCAUACGACACAGGAUAAUGCGGCAGGACACCUCGGCCACCCCUGGUGCAGAAGGCAGAGGAGGGUGUGGUCAGCAGGACCCACGGGGAAGAAGCUGAACAGACAAGCCUGCCCAGAGAGCUGUGGUCUUCACACGGAUGCUGCUGGGGUCAGGGGGCCCCAGGGAACAAACGCCUGACCUCACGCAAAUCCAUGCUAGAGCUCCCCAUCGGCUGGACGUAACCAAAAGUCAGAGGGCAAACAGAGGCACCUAUGGACGCUGGCUGGAUUGGUCAGCCUGCUGGUCACCGCCCCCACCGCUCCCACCCUCACCCCUGCCUGAAGGAUGGGACAGAGGAAAAUGGAAGAUGAAAAAAAGAAGUUAUCGGAAGAUAUCCAGAAUGGCUGUGAUAAGGCGUAGGGUUUAAUUCUGAGGGCAUGGGGAAGGCCCCCCGGGGAGUUUUGAGCAAAGGAGUACUUUAAACGGAUUUAUGUUAAAAAAAGAUCAAUCUGGGAGUUCCCUGGUGGCUCAGCAGGUUAAGAAUCUGGCGUUGUCACUGUAGCAGCUUGGGUUACUACUGUGUAGCCAUAAAGUUCCAUCCCUGGCUCCAGAACUUUUGCAAGUGCUGGACCAGCCAAAAAAAAAAAAAAA